rnacentral:rRNA from 1 species
AAUUCCGAUAACGAAACGAGACUCUCCCCUGCUAACUAGUCGGUUGGAUCUUGCUCGGGUGAGCUGUGUGCCGGGUUCACCCGUUGCGUUGGUGCGUGCGAGGUUUGGUGCACGGGCGUUUCGGCGUUCCGUUGCCCUUCCUUGUCGUUACUGGACUGCGGGCCUCGGACCACACACUCCAAGUCCGCCGCUUAUGCUAUGACUCUUCUUAGAGGGAUUCACGGUACUGAAGCCGUAAGAGACUGAGAGCAAUAACAGGUCUGUGAUGCCCUUAGAUGCUCUGGGCCGCACGCGCGCUACAAUGCCGGGCACAGCAGGUUCUAUUCCUGCUCCGUCAGGAGCGGGUAACCCUCUGAAAGCCCUUGCUUUAUCGUGUCUGACACGAAUGGCGUGCUUGGGCCUGGGGCUUGCAAUUCUUUCCCACAAACGAGGAAUGCCUAGUAGCGGCGGGUCACUGAGCCCGCCGUGAUUCAGUCCCUGCCCUUUGUACACACCGCCCGUCGCUACUACCGAUUGGGUGUACCAGUGAGAGCCUUGGACUGGCGUCCGUUGCCUUCGGGUAAGCGGGUCCGACGGAAAAGAGGUCCGAACUGGUGCACUUAGAGGAAGUAAAAAUCGUAACAAGGUUUC